ensembl:lncRNA
UUUUUUUUUUUUUUUGAGACAGAGUCUCACCCUGUCACCCAGGCUGGAGUGCAGUGGCGCAAUCUCGGCUUACUGUAACCUCUGCCUCCCUGGUUCAAGCGGUUCUCUUGCCUCAGCCUCCUGAGUAGCUGGGAUUACAGGUGCGUACCACCACGCCCAGCUAGUUUUGUAAAAAACUAGCUAGUUUCACCAUGUUGGCCAGGCUGGUCUUGAACUCCCAACCUCAGGUGAUCUGCCUACCUCGGCCUCCCAAAGUGCUGGGAUUACAGGCAUGAGCCACGGCACCUGGCCUGGUGUACAAUUUUUGUUGAGCCAUGCUGGGGAGUAUAGAAUAAUUGAACUAGGUUGACAACUAGGUUGUCAGUCACUGAAAAAGUGCUAAAAGUCAUUCCGCAAGAGGGUCUUCUUUGGGCGAGGCUAAGUGUUAGCUGUUGGGGAUCAAAGAUUAAUGAUGUGGUCUUUUUUUUUCUUAUGGUUCCACCUUCCAGAAGAUGGAUUCAGAAACAGAUCAUUGUAACACAGUGAAUUAAGUGCUAAAAUAAAACGAUGUGCAGAGUGGAGUACAGAGAGGAUUCCUCAACCCAGCCUGGAGUAAUGCACUCACGGAAGGACUCCUGGAAGAAGGAAUACCCGGGCAAGGAGUUACCCAGGUGAAGGGUUGCACAGGGACAUUUCUGGCAAAGAUGUAAGCAAGGGAAUAAGCCUAGAAGCAAGAAGCAGCACGGGACAGAGUUCUCUUAGCCCUUUGCUGCUGCUUAAGCGCAGUGUUAGAUAAGAAUGAUGAGGAUGAUGUUGGAGAGGUGGGCAGGGAUGACAUGUCUAAGAACUUUGCAAAGUAUAAUCCAUAAAGGAUGGGGCUGUGAAGGAACUGCGAUCAAAGGAGUAAUGUGAUAGGAAUUGCAAUUCUCCCUGGGGCUUGGAGGGAAAGAUGGAUUUAGGGCAGGCAAAACUAAGGACAAGGGAACAGGGGGUUGGGGAUUCCUCAUAUCAUUAGAGUUGAGGGGGACAACUCAGGAAUAUUUUCACAGAAGGAAAACAAAGGCCAGGAGAGGUAAAGGAAUGAGGUCGAGCUAACAAUCUCAGCUUAAGGACAAGACUUGACACUCAAGUGAAAUGGAGGGAAUUAUGGAAAAGAAUCCAGUGGGUUUCAAUGCUUCCCUUGCGUUCCCCAGAGGAUAUGAUGUCAAAAGGAGACUGGAUGUUGGGCUUGCCUGAGCCCUUCGCUUUCCCUCACUCACCCACCCUACCCUAGUUGUUAUACACCAUGGCCUUCGAUUCCAGGGAACACAGACGCUUGUCUCUUGAAGGUGUCUGCUUAGAACCAUGGAUAAGGGUAAAGAAAGAAGGGGAAGGAGAAGUCUUUCUGGAGAAGCAGGAGAUGUUUCCAAGCAAGCGAGGGUCACAGAGAAGAAUUCAGAGAGGCUUGAUCUAGGCAGAGGGCCUCUGAAGUUCUUGGGUCAACUAGUAGGUGAAAAGAACUAGAAGUGACCAGGACUUCACUGCAAGGCACCUACAGCUCUAUCAGUACCUUGGGGCAUCCAUUUGUGCAAUGCAGAUUGCACACUGUAAGACCACACAGAGUGAUCCAGGGCAGCACUAUGAUAUCAAAGAGUGCCCCAGGCCAACAAACAGUAGCCCUUCCUAUAAUCUCCAUCAGUCAUCCACCCAAGUAAUAUACAGGCAAAGUUAAAGCUCAUUAUGCAAUGGCAACUUAAGCAAAUAGUCUAGCCAUUCUCCCUUCUAAGAAAUCAGCCUCAAGAGCUUCUUCUCCAUGGACAUCACAGGGUUUCUCCUGCCCUGUGAUUACAAGUCAAUGCCUUUCCCCUCAAUCAUCUCUUUUCCCUGUUUCCCUCAACACUUACUGGGCUAUGCUGGCUUGGCAAUGUGGACCCACCACAGGAGCCACCUCCCCUGAAUCUUGUUGUCUCGUGGAAGUAGGUGAUGAAGACAGAAGCUCUACCCUCCAAAAGAGCAGGAAGAGAGAGCCCAGCAGGUGGUACGGGGCCUGGAUGAUUUCUCCUGAAGAACACAUGAGUGUCUUGGACCUUGCGCCUGGAGGCCUGGGUGACUGUAAGUAAAUAAGUUAAAUGUUGGGCCCUGGGAGGGUGUAUCCCCUCUGAAGCUUGUUAGACAA